rnacentral:misc_RNA from 1 species
GACAGAAGCGGUACAUGGGCACGCCGCUGUAUCGUCGAAAACCUUGCUUGAAAAGAAAGGCAGGGUCCGUUUAUGGAGUGGGUCACUGCUUGCCUUCCGGUCUCACGCUUCUCUGCUGUCCUCACCGUCUCUCUCUCUCUCUUGCUUGUUUUUUUUUCAUGCACUUUCCUUAGUUUCGGUAGCAUGAACAACGGUCGCCGGCGUACAUCGAAGCCGUCAGGCUCGCCGCAGCUCUUUAGAGCGAGCCCACCAAAGAAGGACGGCGGCCUCUCAGACCCGCUUUUGCUUUCUCCAGACGUGCUCGACGAUGCCACACGGAGAGAGCUGCUGCAAGAUGUACUUCGCCAACGCCGCGCGUCACCGUCGUCGGUGGACCGGCCAUCAAACUCGGGUGCGGUACCCGGAGGCACCGACACGGACAAGGAGCCAUUUGCGCGCCAGCUCCGCACGCGGGUGCGCUCCGGCAGCAACUCCAACAGUGACAUCCUUGUCACCGCCAUGGCGGCACGACUCAAGGACUUGGAGUCGCAGCACAAGGCGUAUCAGGCGGAGCUGAAAGAGCUGCAUGCCAAGUACCGCCAACUCAACGACAAGUAUCAGCGAGAACGUCAGCUGCGUGAGGAGGCGGAGACGGCGGUGUUGACUCUCUACGACGAGAAAGAACUCCUAGAAGCGGAGCUGCGAGAGAUGGAGGUGGCACACGCAUGCGCAUCCGGCGCUAAAAACAAUCACCCGCUGUCACCGCACAACCGCGCCGGGAAAGUGACUGACGACACCCAAGCCUCACCGUCGAACUCGCCGCCAGCACCGUCACGCGCCGUAAAGGUCGAUCUUUUCAGCGGUGAUUUCACAGACGGCAGCACCGGCGACGGUGCCAAGGCGACGGAGAAGAAGGGACCGACGCACUUUGUGAAUACGGCGCGGCCCGACAUCGCUCUCUUCAGUCCCCAGAGGGUCGGCGGUUUGCCGGGUAACCGCCAAGCCGCCUCUGCUGUCGCAGGCUCGUCCCUGCAGCCACCAUGUCGUCGAUACUCUGUCAGCUCCGUGGACAUGGAGCUGCUCACCAAGAACGCGCGCAUUCUAUCCGAUUACGUCGGCUGGAAAGGCGUUUUCAAGCAGGGAAACCAGGCCGGCAUCCGCGAGCGCGAUGUUGUGCGCGUCGUCGUUUACAAGAACGGCAUUUGCGUGAAUCAAGGGCCCUUCCGCCCGUACGGCUGGGCACUGUGCGACGCCUUCCUGGAUGAUCUCAUCGAGGGCUUUUACCCUUACGAAUUCAAGGAAAGGUACCCAGACGGCUUUCCCAUCGAGGUGGUGGACCGCACCGGCGAGACGUGCGAAACAGUUCGUGCCGGCGCCGCAUAUGGUAAUGAGGCCGCUUCCCAAGCGAAUGCAGGACCGCUGUUCCCAAAGGAAGGUGGCCGGCGACUUGGUGCGGCACCGCAGAACCCCGGCAGAAGCCCGGAGCGAAUUCACACGCUCGACGAACAGAAGAAUAUCGACUACACCCCUAUCAGUGUAGAGAAGUUCCUGAAGAAGGUUCCGGCACAAAAAGUGACCGCGAGCGGUCAGCUGCUCUCCGUGCGCGACGGUGUGGCAGCGUUUAUGGGAGUGGGGGCAACCGGCGCAUCUAGCGCGUCGGCGCCCCGAGCUUUGGAAACAAUCAAGCAUGUCAGCGCUGCCGAGGCUGCGUAUCGUCGAAGAGUGGCGCAGCAGCAGCAGCAGCAGCAUCAAUCUGCUUCGCCCGUAACGGCGGCUUCCGGCGCGGUCAGUUCCAUGUUCGUGGGCAACCUCAUUGCCGUUCUCAUACGCCUCCCCGAUGGACAGAAGAUCACGCUGCACAUGGCCCCGGAAGACACGGUGGCCUCCUUGCGCGAAGAGUUCGUCGUCGCCGCGCCAAGCUUCCGGGAAGUCCGAUACGAGCUGUGCCAAGCCUUUCCGCUGAAGCAAGAGUGGAAUGAGCACCAGCGCACUUUUGCAAGCCUGGGCGUGGAGAAGAGCUGCACGCUCAUGGUGAAAUUGAUGAAGCAGGCGUGACUGGGCUGUCUCUGCAGGCGCCGUGCAUGCGGCAACGCGCAGCUCCCCGAGCAACAGCAGUAACGACAAAAUAGAUUCGAAAAUUGACUUUUCUCUCUCUCCUUUUCAUGUCCCUCUUUUCUAUUGCCUUCGUGUUUUGCUCUUGCUCCGAGGACAGAUGCCGAGCUGUCCCUGCAGCGCCGAGAGAGAGAGAGAGAAAAACAGAUGUGUGGGGAGGUCAGCUCUGCCACGGCGUCCAACUCGCAUCUCAAAUUCUCCUACUCCACCCCUCCCCCUCGAACGCGUCCGCCCGUCGAUCUCCCGUGUGUGGGGGAGGGAGGGGGUUGUUCAGGUCUCAUUUUUUGCGCCCCGGUGGCAUCCUAUUAGAUGUACACUAUCCCUGACGCUGUCGUGACAGGCGAUCUUUCAAACAAC